UACGGGGGGGGCAAGCGUUGUUCGGAAUUACUGGGCGUAAAGGGCCCGUAGGUGGCCAACUAAGUCAGACGUGAAAUCCCUCGGCUUAACCGGGGAACUGCGUCUGAUACUGGAUGGCUUGAGUUCGGGAGAGGGAUGCGGAAUUCCAGGUGUAGCGGUGAAAUGCGUAGAUAUCGGGAGGAACACCAGUGGCGAAGGCGGCGAUCUGGGUGGAUACUGACGCUGAGGUGCGAAAGCGUGGGGAGCAAACAGG
rnacentral:rRNA from 1 species